rnacentral:tRNA from 1 species
GAAAUGAGAGGCUUCAAGGAGAAGCUGCUAACUUCUUUCUUUAGCGGUUAAACUCCGUUUACAUUUCU